AAAGGAAUAGACGGGGACCCGCACAAGCGGUGGAGUAUGUGGUUUAAUUCGAUGGUAAACGAGGAACCUUACCUGGGCUCAACUACUAGCUGCAUAUAACCAGAAAUGGAUAUAGCCUUCGAGGGUGCUAGAUAGGUGCUGCAUGGUUGCCGUCAGCUCGUGCCGUGAGGUGUACCGUUAAGUCGGGAAACGAGCGCAACCCACGUCGUGUGUUAAAUAUACACGCGAGACUGCCCGCGCAAGCGGGAGGAAGGGGUGGACGACGUCAAAUCAGCAUGGCUCUUACGUCCAGGGCUACACACAUACUACAAUGGCCGGCACAAUGGGUUGCUAAACCGUGAGGUGGAGCUAAUCCCAUCAACUCCGGUCUCAGUUCAGAUUGAAGGCUGCAACUCGCCUUCAUGAAGUUGGAAUCGCUAGUAAACGCGUAUCAGCCACGGCGCGUUGAAUACGUUCUCGGGUCUUGUACACACCGCCCGU
rnacentral:rRNA from 1 species